UCAUUGUAGCAAUACAAGGCAUACGGCUCAGUAACGCGUAGUCAACCUAACCUAUGGACGGGGAUAACCUCGGGAAACUGAGAAUAAUACCAGAUAGAACAUUAUACCUGGAAUGGUUUAUGUUUCAAAUAAUUUAUUGCCGUAGGAUGGGACUGCGGCCUAUCAGUUUGUUGGUGAGGUAAUGGCCCACCAAGACUAUUACAGGUACGGGCUCUGAGAGGAGUAGCCCGGAGAUGGGUACUGAGACACGGACCCAGGCCCUAUGGGGCGCAGCAGGCGAGAAAACUUUGCAAUGUGCGAAAGCACGACAAGGUUAAUCCGAGUGGUUUCUGCUAAAGGAACCUUUUGUUAGUCAUAGAACCACUAAUGAAUAAGGGGUGGGCAAGUUCUGGUGUCAGCCGCCGCGGUAAAACCAGCACCUCAAGUGGUCAGGAUGAUUAUUGGGCCUAAAGCAUCCGUAGCCGGGUGUGUUAGUUUUCGGUUAAAUCCAUACGCUCAACGUAUGGGCUGCCGGGAAUACUGCAAGGCUAGGGAGUGGGAGAGGUAGACGGUACUCGGUAGGAAGGGGUAAAAUCCUUUGAUCUAUUGAUGACCACCUGUGGCGAAGGCGGUCUACCAGAACACGUCCGACGGUGAGGGAUGAAAGCUGGGGGAGCAAACCGGAUUAGAUACCCGGGUAGUCCCAGCUGUAAACUAUGCAAACUCGGUGAUGCAUUGGCU
rnacentral:rRNA from 1 species